GAUGAAGAACGUAGCGAAAUGCGAUAAGUAAUGUGAAUUGCAGAAUUCAGUGAAUCAUCGAAUCUUUGAACGCACAUUGCGCCCCUUGGUAUUCCGAGGGGCAUGCCUGUUCGAGCGUCAUUUCAACCCUCAAGCACUGCUUGGUCUUGGGCUUCGCCGCUAACCCGGCGGGUCUUAAAAUCAGUGGCGGUGCCGUCGGGCCCUGAGCGCAGUAAUCUCUCUCGCUAUAGGGUCCCGGCGGAUGCUGGCCAGUAACCCCCAAUUUUCUAUGGUUGACCUCGGAUCAGGUAGGGAUACCCGCUGAACUUAAGCAUAUCAAUAAGCGGAGGA
rnacentral:misc_RNA from 1 species